AGGAAACAUCUCAUUUUGGAAGCUGUAUUAUGUCACAGUGUGCCCCACAUCUUUACUUGCAAAUGUUCAUUGACAUAAGUCAUUGGUCUGGUGUUCUAGAGCUCUGGCUUCUGUGACAACAUCAAUAUUGGAACCUCACUGGGAUUCCUAGUUAUCCUGUUAUUGCACUGUGUCAUGGAGACCCUGCAACUCUGGAGUAGCAGGACUGGCCCUUUCAUGAAUACCAACUGUUUGUAGAUUAUAUAGAUUUUGGGGUGGCCCAACUCAGAGUCCUCCUGAAUCCAGGCCUAGGUUGCAGCUGAGCUGGUUAGCCUGACAGCUCUUCCUUAUCAGAAUCAACAGGGACGGGAAGAAUCCAAGAGACUGCCUCCAGCAGAUGUUGGAGCAGGAACAAAGCUCCUUUUUGAUCAUUUAGUUCUUUCAGAGUUGAGACAUUUAUAAAUCGGUAAUAUUCUUAAAUUGAAA